AUGGCUCAGGAUGAACGCUAGCGACAGGCUUAACACACGCAAGUCGAGGGGCAGCAUAAAAGUAGCAAUACUUUGGUGGCGACCGGCGCACGGGUGAGUAACGCGUAUGCAACCUACCUAUCAGAGGGGAAUAACCCGGCGAAAGUCGGACUAAUACCGCAUAAAACAGGGGCACCGCAUGGUGAUAUUUGUUAAAGAAAUUCGCUGAUAGAUGGGCAUGCGUUCCAUUAGGUAGUUGGUGAGGUAACGGCUCACCAAGCCGACGAUGGAUAGGGGAACUGAGAGGUUGGUCCCCCACACUGGUACUGAGACACGGACCAGACUCCUACGGGAGGCAGCAGUGAGGAAUAUUGGUCAAUGGGCGGGAGCCUGAACCAGCCAAGUCGCGUGAAAGGAAGAAGGAUCUAUGGUUCGUAAACUUCUUUUGCAGGGGAAUAAAGUGCAGGACGUGUCCUGUUUUGUAUGUACCCUGAGAAUAAGGAUCGGCUAACUCCGUGCCAGCCGCUGC
rnacentral:rRNA from 1 species